GCUUCUGUGGUCCAAUGGUUAGGAUUCCACCCUUCCAUAUCCGUUCACAACGGUGAAGUCUAGGUGGAGGUUCGUGUUCGAUUCACGGCAGUUGCA